CUGUUUAUUGCAGGGGGACUGAACAAGAUGACGUUAAAACUCAUUUCCAACCCAAGCUCUUCUAUAACUUUCAUGAUGAUGACAGAAAAUACAGACUGUAUGAAGUGUUCUUGAAUUGCAUCUAUAACCUGGAUCACUGUAACAAUGUGGGAUACUACAUUUCCCACUUUCAUGGAGCGUGAGGACUGUAAGC